rnacentral:rRNA from 1 species
UACGUAGGGGGGCAAGCGUUGUCCGGAUUUAUUGGGCGUAAAGAGCGUGUAGGCGGCUAGAUAGGUCCGUUGUGAAAACUCGAGGCUCAACCUCGAGACGCCGGUGGAAACCAUCUAGCUAGAGUCCGGAAGAGGAGAGUGGAAUUCCUGGUGUAGCGGUGAAAUGACGCAGAUAUCAGGAAGAACACCCGUGGCGAAGGCGGCUCUCUGGGACGGUACUGACGCUGAGACGCGAAAGCGUGGGGAGCGAACAGG